UCAUACAACGUCAUUAUGUCCUGUGCCCCACUGAUGUUGAAUGUUGAAAGCAUCGCUUGACCUCUCAAGAGAGGAGCUGUUUUUCACUAGGUUCACUGCUCAGUUUCGGGCAAGUUAUUAACGAGUCCUGUUACAUGACAUUGUUAGCAUGAAGGAACACAAAGUAGAAAAACCGGAUGUGUAGCGUGCCAUCCUACACGUCAUUCCAAAUCCUCCGUUUACGUUAGUCAUGUUUUGUCACAUCUUGCAUUAAAGAAUCCCCGCAGUAUCCAAAUAACCUCAAGUUAUGUUUCAUUCACAGAUUUGCACAUCAAAUGCCACAUUCGUCCGACUGUAAAACAAGGGUCCUUCAAUACUUUCCAUCUGGUCACAAAAGUUCGCGUAAUCCUAUGGGAGAGCUUCAUAUAGUGCCCACAGUGGACACACCACGGCGCUGGCGCAAGUAGAAUGUGGACUGGAGCAGAUGCCGAACGAACGCCACAGGCGUUCUGUGCGUAAGCUCGCUAUUGUGCAAGGGUUGACUGCCUGUAUCGGCGUGUGAAUAUUGUCGACACACCGUGCUAAUUGGCGCCCUGUUUCUGUAAAGUGUUCAGAAACUUAAAUGCGAACAAUUUCUUAACUAAAACGCCUUGUUUAAUUUCCAGCUUCAAUUACGAUCACAACAGCGGCUUAAUUCCUAAUUCAACUUGUACACUUGGACUACUCCAUCGUUAGAAAAAAACUACAGAGCAAGUUAACGUCGCACUUUUAUGUAAUAUCACGUAAAAAAAAAAAAACUGCGUUUCAAAUUACUAAAGCUAACCAACUGAAUAACUAAACAAAGAAAUAGGUAAUUACUAAACUAACAAAGCUAACCAGUUGAUUACUAAGCUAAUUACUAAUUAUUGCCAAAUUAUCACUAAUUAUUACUAAACUAAUUACAAGCUAAUCACUAAACUAACAAAGCUAACCAAAUAGGUAAUUACUAAACUAAUUAUCAAGCUAAUAGCUACCCUACUAACUAAUCCAAGAACUACAUUAACUAACUAAACUCAAUAAUAAGUAAUGUAACAGACUACAGUAACAAAAUCAACUCAACCAAUGAACUAAUUACAUAAUAAUAACUAAAUAAUACACCAACUAAACUAACUAAAUAAGUAAGGUAACUAACAAAACUAAUUAACUAAUCAAACUAGCAAAGCUAACCAACUGAUUAACUAAGUUAUCUAACUGAAAUAACAAAAUAAUUUGCUAAUAACCUAUCUAACUAAUCAACUAAUAACUAACACACUGAACUAGCUAACCAAAUAUAACUGACUUAUCCAACUAUAACUAACUAGACAAAGUGCAAAUAGAGACAGCCAAACUAAAGUUUCUGCAAGGAAGGCUACUAGGGGGGAGAGCAACGUCAAUCAUAAACGGUGCCGUGUAUAAUUUAAACACAAAUGCACGGCACAUUAAAUUAUUUUGCCAAAGUUCCUGUUGCAUGUUCACUCUACAAACAUGCUGAAAUAAAUGGAGAAGUGCCUCUCCUCGUGAAAGAUUUGCAUGAUCACGCAUCCCGGCCAUCUGGCACGACAGAUUGUUCACCUUCUAGUUAUGCCAACGCCUCUGGUGUCACCUUCUGUCCCUAUAUGAAACUUUCGGGGAAGUUUCAUGACCAGAUGAAAAGCAUUGAAGGACUCUGGUAACACCUAUACCCUAUUCUUGUGGUCAAGAGAAAGAACCAUUGUGCAAUUUCAGCACUGCACCCGAUUUUAAUGCACAUGCCGUAUUUAGAUAUGCAUAUAUUUCACACUUCUGAAUACAGUCGCAUGCCUUUACAACGAACGCCUCUACAACAAAAUGACCUGUAUAAUAAAGAAAUAAUUCUGUCCCAGUUCUAUUGUGAGCCGUGUGGUGUGCAAUAUUUACAAGUGACCUUUAUAACGAAUGAGUUCGGAGGCCCCAGGAACUUAACUAUAAAGGCGUUCGACACUAUGUACAUUAGAAUAUGGUAGGUAAAUACCAUAAUUCUCGUAUGCAUGCUUUUGAAAGUUGGUGACCAGAAAGAACCAAGGUCACCUCAUCAUGCUCAUUAAGCAAUAGAUGCGAUGAAUGUGACUAGUAGGCAGUCCAGCAAAAAAAGGCGCAAUUUUGACACCACUGGUCAAUUAAAAUGGCUGCAAAGAUCAAGAUGAUGCAGUGUUAUGAACAACAACAAGAUUCACAAUUAAGAGGAUGAAUUUCAGACAUUUUAUAUAAAUAAGGCAGAAAAGGCAGUUAUAUUCUCACUGCUUAGUCUUUUAUCCUUUGUGACAUGAUAUAAGCUUUAUUAUGUUCCACAUAACAUGAAAUAAUGCCUCACCACAAUAAUCAGCACAAUUAUUCAGGCUUGUAUCUUGUAGCUUGAUGCAAACCAGUUAAUAUAAAUAGCUUGACCCAACUUCAUAAUUUUCAAUACCCACCAACAGAUUAUAAAAGACUGGCACUGCAAACCAGUCACACAAUUAGUUCCUCCAUAGCAUGUGUGUGCUAUUCCAGCAUUUUGUAAUAACAAAAUUUAAAUAUGAAAUUAAAUUGUGAGACCUCAGCUUAUGGGCAAAAAUAAGGAAAAUGUGUACAUUAACUAUGAGGAAUUCUAUUGCACAAUUAAAGCUAAAAUGGUGUAGGUUGGGGCUGCUAAGGGUUCUUGUAAAUCUGGCCUUUGCAUGCAGAGUUCUGACUAGAUAUGGUGGAAAGGACAAAGAGUGUGUGUAUGUGUAUCUUUCAGGCCAGCAGUAUGACAAAUUAAUCAGACCAAGCAAAACAGCUAUGUCUAUAGUAUGCUGGCCUCACUGGAAUUCGGAUCCAUUGCAUGACCUCCUAAAGACCAAAAGUUGUGUGUCACAUGUCUCAAGGAAAGUGAACUGUAUAGACUUAGAAAGCAAGUAAUGGCACAGCAAGAUAAAACUAGAUGACAGAUAAGUUCUGGGUUACUAUGUCACCUGCUUAAAAGCCCAGUUGCGUGUGACUCUUUUAUGUUCUGCGCCCACUGGGCAAACUUUGCAGCAUGCACAACCACAUGGCAAACAAUGAAGAUUGGUCACACCUAACAUGUCCUCCACAGUUUGCGCACGCGCCUUUUCAACCUUGAAAGUCAACCCACACAUGUGGCUGCUAUUUAUUGUUUGAAAUGUGAUGCUAAUCAUGACGAAGUUUGAAAAAGCAGAUGCUGAUCUCGGAGGUCAACAGUCUGCACCGAAGUUUUCUGGGCACUUAUUGCAGCAGACUUUGCCUAGUGGGCAUCAGGGUGAUAGGAAGGGUCCCAUUUCUUGUGGAGUUCCAAGGCAGAGCUUAGCUACUUUAGCAGUGAUUUACAAGUGUUGACCUAUAUUACCUACAGUGACAUCCUAGGAAUGUUGGUCAAACGUGGCAUUGAAAGCUUCAGAAUUUUUCCCAGCAGUCGUCUCCCAUCGGCAAGCUUACUUACAAUACCCAUACAAGCAGGUACCUUUGUGUCCUUCUUGCAAAGCAUCAGCAAAACGUAGUUCUUGCUGAUGUAGCUACAUGGUUGAAUUGGCAGCAAACUGGUUAGAGCACAGCGCUGCACUCUUGCUGAACACAACUGAACAUGCAGCUACAACUGUUAUGAAGGCUGCACAGUCCUUGCAACCAAUAACUCUCGCCUGUUUCUUCCUGUUUCUCUAAUUUCGACACUGAAUUGUUAUCUAGAUUGCAGGAUUGCUGCUGGUAAAUAAUUUAUGCCCAAUUAUAACAGAAGUGAAGCUGGUUAGCUGGUACGUAUGCAUAUCAAGAGAGAAAGAAAGCAAUAAACUAAACCAGUAUAAAGAUGACUACAUGAAAGCCUUUACCCAGCCUUUGCUUUCCUUGUUUAAUAUUGAGCAAAAUUUGUCCUUCAAACAUUGCACAGAAAUGUACAGCUAUUUCACACGAGUCAAUGCUUAACUAGGAAAUAAUUAUGAAUCUUAACAGUUGCUUGGAACGCCCAUACAAAAAGUCUCUUUAUGUUGUUAUCAUUCAGGUUUAAAUAUGCAGGUUUAUCAUGCUGAGCUGUCUGGGUAAAUUAAAAGUGCUCUUGGUGCAACAACACAGUUGGCCUAAAGAUACUAAUUAGCUGUUAAGCAGGCUUAUGUGGAAGGAGAGGGGCAAUUGCAUAAACAAAUAAAUUUUGGAAAUAAGUGCCCAUUGACUACUAAACAGCAAUAACUAUCUUCUCUCUUCAAUAUGCACCCGUGAUCAAAACUGUGCAAACCAGGGCUCAAAAAAAAAAAAAUCUUGCCAAUUACGACUGGCAACACAAAACUGAUGAAAGCAGUGUAAUGUUUGCAAUGCCAAGUUUGAACUUCAGUCUUCAGUUUCGGGUUACAUGUCAAAGCUUUGAGGGAAUUCGCUUUUUUUUUUCUUUAGAACUCUUGGUCUGCAUACUUUGAUCACGGGCAUCCAUGACACACAUAAUGAAUGUUGCAUCGAUAAGGUUGUCCAAUACAAAUGACUCUUCUAGCUAGUGCUGACUUGAUUGCAGUCAAAUUUUACACGGAUGUUGCAUUUACUCGUGGCCUUUGUUUGAUACAAUGGGUGGAUGCAGCCCUUGCUUGUUUCAUGCAGAACAAAUCAGAGGUACAUAUAUCUAUGGCAAUGCCAGAUAAGAAAAAAAUUGAACCUUUUUCUGCUGAAGAAAUACAGUAGAGUGAAACCACUCCACAUUUCACUGUCCAUGAAGUGGGUGUUUAAACUUGCCAGGACAGCAUCAUCCUCAUUCCUCUCAGUAAGAUGAAAUAUUUUCUUCUGCACAGCUGCAAUGCAGUGCUGAUUUUUUUUUUUCUGGGAAAGAUAGAUAAAUAGUAGUGCAUCCAGGCACCGGAUUGAACUCCCAUGUCAUUGCAUGAACUCCCAUGUCCUUGCUAAAUUUUAGUGCAAAAAGACCGGUUGUUUAGCUUAAGCAGCCAUUUAUAUCAGGCUUCCUUAUUUGACGCAGCAUACAGUACUUACUAGCAGAUGGCUUCAAAAUCACAUUAAGCUAUAAAGAAACUAAGCUUCUAGGCAUGGUAUGAUUGUUUUACCUAUUGCAGUUAACCAGGGGACAAACAUGCAAACGAAGACAUGCAGUUUGGCGACUUUGAUGAUUCCUAAAGGUAAGACUAAUUACAAUGAAAAGGAAUGUGGAGGAUGUUUCAGGUGCUCUGUGGGUCAAGAAGAUACUGGUCAAGUUGAAAGGGAGAGUUGGCGCAUGAACAGUGGCCCAAACACCACAGACCUUCCCGCUGAGAAUUUUAUCGUAUAGAGGUUUCAAGUACAGGAAAUGAGAAAGUUGACGUGGAUUUGUGCAGGAAUAAGACUUUCAAGCAAAAAAAAAAAGCAACAAGAAAGCAAUGACGACUGAAGUUGCACAGAAGAGGAAGUAAGCAUAGCCUGAGGAAAGCUGGCAAGACAUCGCUGAGUAUGAUCCCCAGCCAGGAAGCCAAAAUGCUGCCCUAUUACAAAUAAAAUGUGCACAAGUAAGAGAUAACAAACACUCCUUUACUGCUUUUAGCUACGUUGUGCGACUUUGCCAUGACUUCUGCUUGUAUGUUUGCUUUAAGGCCUGCACUAGUUCUUUAAACUGGAUACAUAGCAAUUUGAAAUCACUACCUUGAGUUAUUAUUUGUGAGAGGUGUUUUACUUUGUUUUAGUGUUCACAUUUCACUUGGCAAUAAUAGUACAUGUGGAAUUAAACAAAAGUAUGCACUGGGACUGAACUGUGAAGCAGCCCAUCCAUGGUGGUCUACAACUGCGCAAAACUCCCACCCACCUCUACUUCUCUGCACACAGCCCGUCCUCCUCACUUUGUGCUGCCAGAAACAUGAUGCACACCUGCUAACGACCUACUAAGGAGCCCCAACUCUUAAACUAUAUGAAAAAUUUAGGAAAGUUGGCAGGUAUGAUGAUGCCUCUACAUAAAAAGAGUACGGUAUAUUGAAAAUUCUCUAUGUCACUGUAAAACCUGCUUUUAUGGUUAUUGUGAGAAAACCAACCAAAAGGAUGCCGACAGGAUGCAUUUUGGGAAAGUGUUCUUCUAACUGCCAUGAAAUCAAUCACUGACUAAAACUGUUUAGGCAAGCUCCAUGCACGUGGUAAGUAUCUCAUGCUGAAUUUCUUCCAUUUUGCCUGAUCAUAGCUUGCAUUCAAUUCUGUGCAUGUGCUUAGUGAUUACAAAUACUGCAUAAGGUCAAAAGUGCCACUGUUUAGUCAUCGGACACAGUGAUUCGAAGGACUGGCCUUUGCGACUAUUAUUUUACUGCAUCUUUCCGCUGUUCUGGCAAAGACAGCCAUACAGAUGCAACUGAUAUUCCCAUUACUAUUACCUGGGAAACAACGUUUUUAAGAGUCACAUGUGCAAGAAACUUGGGCACUUCAAGGUAUUUACGUUACAUUGUAUUCAAAAUAAUGUGGCUAGUAAAAAGUUAACUGCAAAACUCAUGCAAGUGGACUGCACCGUAUAUUACAAAGUUUUGCAUGUAAUACUGGCAAUGCUGCAGGUCUCUCCCAAUGAUGAUGUUCAACUUAUGAUGCAAUUCGGGAGCAUUAUAAUGGUUACCGUAUAACUUUCAUUAAAAAAUGCCCUCUGCUGGACUGUUUCUUUUUCUAUCCUCACUAUUCAGUUGCAUUCGCACUGGCUCUGUGUGUACAAAACUCAGUUUGACCCCAAUAUUAUAAAAAUAUCUGUAUAAUUCUUGUUAUUCAAUCUUGUUAUUCAAUCAUUAUUCAAGGACAACUGUGCAUGUAUUCAUUUUGCUAUCCGGUUCAUUAAAACAUAUCAAGCACACAUUCCGUUCUGAUGAAAAGGAAUAAAAGCUAUCAUAAUCAUAAAACAUCAUAAUAAAAAGAAUGCAUUAGUCAUUAGUCCUUGUAGUGAAGAUCACAUAACAAGCUGUACCUUAUGAACUUGUGAACAAUUCAGAAAAUGCACAGAAAAAAUCUGUGUUCAACUCAUGCCGCUUCAAAAAAGUUACAGGGGUGUAAAAUGUUUCUUCAGUGCUCGAAUAUUUAGUCUAUUUAUUUUGCAAUUUACAAAAUCUGGUGCUAAAACAAAGAAAAUACUUUUAUGUAAGGUGCUUUGGUAUUUGUUAUUAUUUUACAUGCUUACUUGUGGUAUGUUUGCCUUGGAAUUUGUCAUGGUAUAUGCUCGUGAAACACCAACUUCAUAGUUGACCGUAUCGCUGCCCAUUACCGAAUGCGCUAAACACAAGCACACUGGCAAAUGAAUGUAAUUUGGAAAGUUUUACAUUGCCAGUAAUUUGCUUUCAAAUGUUUUUGAACUAGGCUUGAUGUUGCAAACAAAGCAAGAAUAGACAAAUGAAGUAAUUAUCUGCACAGAAUUCUUAUCUUGUUAGCAAAAGGGUUAACUGAGGGAUAUCCUACAGUUACAAAUGUGCAGGCACCAGAUAAACAAUGAAGGUUUUGUCCACAGGUACCAAUAUAUAUAAACAUGCCAAUGCUAAUAUCUACUUGAACAAUAAAUGUGAAACAGUACAAAAUAAAACAGUGAAAACUGACAAAAGAAAAACUGCAAAACCACAUAAACCAUCAUGAGUGCACAAUGUAAACUAAGAAAGCAGCAUCCAUUUUUUUUUCCUUACCAUUUGCAAAUCUGCAAUGUCACCGAUGUUUCACUACUAAAGAAAGAAAUGGCAGUGCAGCUGAUUUGCAUAGGAGAAACAAAUGCAAGAAAGGCAAGCAUGUGCCAUUUGCAAGUAGGUGUUCAGGCACCAGCCCCCAUCUACCAAACCAGCACCAAACAAACAUCGUAGCUGGCAAGAACACAUGCACACACAAAAAUAAAUAUAAAGUAUGAGAGCAUUCAGGAAGUUAAAACUAACACACACACAAAAAAAAAGAAAA